UCACGCUGACAACGCUGCGGCCCAAUCCACGCCCAGGACAGGUGCCAGUCCCGAAGCGAAGCCCGGAUAAGGCCUAGAGUGCCCGCCCCUGAAAAUCUGCCAGUCACAGCUCUCUUCUCAUCCUGACUCGGAUAAUUUAUCAUCAAAGCUGUGACUUUUCUGCCCGAAUUCCUUGUUGGUCCGAAAAACAAAAUAGCAAGAAUUUAAAAUGGUUCCAGGUUGACAGUGCCACCAAGCACCAGCCGAAACAAUGCAGAUCAUCUCUGGAUGAGCUGAUCUUCAAUCUAGGCCUUGGGGAAUUUCCACAGAUACGGUUCCAAGAAAAAUAGAUUUUGUCAAAAAUGGGAAACAAAUAAGGAGCAAAGAGCCAGGAGUAAGAGCCAGCAAAGAUGGAAAUAGGAAGUAAGAAAAUUAGAAAAUCAAGCCAAAUAGUUCAAUAUCUGAUUAAUAGGAGUUCUAAAAAGAGAGAAAGGUAUGAGAGAGCAAGAUUGCAAAAGACAUACAAGAAAAAAUUUCUGAACUGAACGUCUUUCUGGAUUACAUAGUACACUAUGUGCCUAGCACAGUGAAAGAAAAAGAAUCACGUCAAGACACAUCUUCGUAAAAUCUCAGAAUAUUAGGGGGAAAGAGAAGAUCCAAAAAGAUUUCAAAAAGAGAGAAAGGGACUUCCCUGGUGGAUCCCUGGUCAGGAGCUAAGAUCCUGCGUGCCACAUGACGUGGCCCCCCAGAAAAGAGAGAGAGAGAAAGAGAAAGGAACAGGAAUGAGAAUGGCAACUCAAUACAGUAUUAGAAGAUAGAUGAUGUGACAGUGCCUUUAAAAUUCUGAAGAAACAUGAUCAUUACCCUAGAAUUCUAUACCAGCCAAACGAAUAUAAGACCAAUACGUACCAAUAUAAGAUAAAUAUAGACAUCUUUCAGAUAUGCAAGGAGUGAACAUUUUUACUUCUCUUUCCAAGUAGGCUACUAUAAGAUGUGCUCUGGUAAGCAGGAAAGAGAAACGCAGCAGAGCUAGGGAAUGGAAUGCUGGAUCCACACACAAAACUGGUGGAGGAAAUCUUUGGAAUGAAAGCUACACCACAGACCCAGAAACAACCUGUCCUGACUGAAGUAGGAGAAGGAGGAAACUGCAGGACAGUCUCCAGAGGGGGGGAAAAAACCUGUAAAGCAUCUGACAUGUUUAAAUAUUUGAAAAAGAAUAUGAACAAGUACUUUACAAGUCUGAUGCGACGUGCGGAAAAAAUUAGAGCUAGAUACAUAGAAAAUUAUAUUUUGAAAAAGAGGUAAUUAUAAACUUAGGGGAAAACAAAAAGUUGAAUAAGAACUAGAAAUUAUCUCACCUUUACGUUAAUUGAUUUUCAACAAGAGUGUCAAGACGGGACUUCCCUGGUGGCGCGGUGGUUCAGAAUCCGCCUGCCAAUGCAGGGGACAGGGGUUUGAGCCCUGGUCUGGGAAGAUCCCACAUGCCGCGGAGCAACUAAGCCCAUGCACCACAACUACUGAGCCUGCGCUCUAGGGCCCGCGAACCACAACUACCAAGCCCGCAUGCCACAAGUACUGAAGGCCGCGCGCCUAGAGCCCAUGCUCCAUAACAAGAGAAGCCACUGCAACGAGAAGCCCGCGCACCACAAGAAGAGUAGACCCUGCUCACCGCAACUAGAGAAAGCCCACGCACAGCAACGAAGACCCAACGCAGCCAAAAGUAAUGAAUAAAUUAAUUAAUUUUUUUAAAAAAGAGUGUCAAGACCAUUUAAUGGGGGAAGGAAUAGUCUUUUCAAUAAAUGGUGCUGGGGGACUUCCCUGGUGGUCCAGUGGUUAAGACGCAGUGCUCCCAGUGCAGGGGACCUGGGUUCGAUCCUUGGUCAGGGAACUAGACCCUGCAUGCAUGCCGCAACUAAAACAUUCCACAUGCCACAACAAAGAUCCCACAUGCCACAAAGAAGAUCCCCAAGUGCAGCAACUAAGACCCAGCACAACGUAAAUAAAUAAAUAAAUAAACAAACAAAUAAAUAAAAUAUUUAAAUAAACAAAUGGUGAAAGGACAGCCCACAGAAUGGGAGAAAAUAUUUGCAAAUGAAAAUAUUUAUAUCUGAUACAGUACUGGUAUCUAGAAUAUACAAAGAACCCUUCCAACUCAGUAAUAAAAAAAAUGAAUAACCCAAUUUGAAAAUGGGCAAAGGGUCUAAACUGACAUUUCUCAAAAGAAGACACACAAAUGGCCAAAAAGCACAAGAAAAGAUGCUCCACAUCAUUAACCGUCAAGGAAGCACAAACCAAAGCCACAAUGAGACACUACUUUAUAACCACUAGGAUGGCUACAAUCAAAGAGACAGGUAGUACCAAAUGUUGAUGAGGAUUAAACCAAAUGCUGGAGAAAGUAAACCUUCAUACACUGCUCGUGGAAAUGCAACAUAAUGCAGCCAAUUUGGAAAAGAGCCUGUAGUUUUUCGAACAGUUAAACACAGAGUUACCACGUGACCCAGCAAUUCCACUCCUAGGUAUUUAACCAAGAGAAAUGAAAAUGCCCACACAGAACCUAAUACACGAAUGUUCAUAGCAGCAUCAUUCAGAAUCGCCAAAAAGUAGAAACAGCCCAAAUGUCCACCAACUGAUGAAUGGAUAAAUAUAGUGUGGAAUAGCCAUACAAUGGAAUACUAUUCAGCAAUAAGAGAAGUGGAGUGCUAAUACUUGCUACAACAUGGGGAGAUCUUGUACCUACACUAAGAUAAAGAAGCCAGUCACAAAGGAUCACAUGUUGUAUGAUUCUGUUUAGAUGAAAUAUCCAAAACAGGCAAGAAUCUACAGGGACAGAAAGUGGCUUAGUGGUUGCCUAGAACUGAGAGGAAGGGGGAACUGAUGGUGGCAGCUAAGGGGCAGGGGGUUCAUUUUGGGGUAAUGUUAAAAAUGUUCUAAAGUUGAUUGUGGUAUUGGAUGCACAACUCUGCGAAUAUAUUAAAAGCCAUUGAAUUGGGUGAAUUGUAUGUGGAUUGUAUCUCAAUAAAGAUACCAAGAGGUUUUUUUAAAUAUAAGAAACAUAAGUUAUACCACAGUACACCAUUUGGCUCAGUAGUAAACAAUAUUUAAUAGUUCUAAUAAUGUAAACACUGUCUACUGAUUUAAGGCAAAAUGCUGAUAUAACUAUAAUGAAGAGGCGUGAGGGAUAGGGGUUAUAAGAAAGGAGGACAUUGGGGCGUGUAACUCCAGCUUCCUAACAAAGUAACUAGUAAGGGCCACCAGCUCCCUCUUCCAAAAUCACACGUGAAGAAUCCAUGGAAGCUAUAGGGAAUCAUGAAUCUCAAGAAUUAACAAAGACAAAGGCAUAAGAAUACCUUGGGGAGACUGAAGGCUCUAGUUAUGUGUUCAGUUGCGUCCUCCAAAAGUUUUUAUGUUUAAGUCCUAACACUCAGACCUCAGAAUGUGACCUUAUUUGGACACAGGUUCGUUGCAGAUGUAAUUAGUUGAGAUGAGGUCAUAUUGUUGUAGGGUGGGCCCCUACUCCAGUAUGACUGGUGUCCUUAUAAAAUGGGAAAAUUUGGAGAGACACACACACAGGGAGAACGCCUUGUUAACAUCAAGGCAGAGAUUGGGCUGAUAUGUCUAUAAGCCAGGGAACACCAAAGAUAGCCAGCAAACCACCAGAGGCUAGGAGAGAGGCAUGGAACAAAUUCUGCCUGACAGCCCUGGUGAGGCCUCGUCUCAGACUUCUAACCUUCAGAACCGUGAGUUCAUACAUUUCUGUUGUUUAUGCGACCCAACUCACAGUACUUACGGCCACCCCAGAAAACUAACACAGCUAUCUUGAACCAGCACAUGUGUUAGAUUCCCAAAACAAACAACAAAUAUCAUACAUAGAUAUUACACAUACAUGUGAUGAAAAUACCAAAAGGGACUUGCAAGUGUGCUAAAGUGUUUGACUUGUUAUGAAUACUGAUAAGUUUAAGAAACCAACAGGAGUAAACAAAUAUGAGUGUUUCUUAAAGCAUGAAUCACCCUGAAGACAAAAAUAGAACAUUGUUUUUCUGGAGGACCUCAGGUACAGAAGGUGGAGUUAACUGCUACUCAUCAAUUCAUGACACAUGAUCUCCACUUAUGCAUAGAAAGAUUUCAUUUCAUUUUAUAAUUCCAUUUUUCCUUAUUCCCCUCCCCAGCCAUAGAGAACACUAUAAAUUGUUUGAUAUUUAUAAUUUUGUGUUUUUGCAAAAUGUGUAGUGUCUCCUGCACGUGUUUUUAUUUUUAUUUACUUAUUUUUAAUGGAUUGAUUUUUUAAAAUUAAUUAAUUAAUUAUUAUUUUUGGCUGUGUUGGGUCUUCAUUUCUGUGCGAGGGCUUUCUCUAGUUGUGGCGAGUGGGGGCCACUCUUCAUCGCGGUGCGCGGGCCUCUCACUGUCAUGGCCUCUCUUGCUGCAGAGCACAGGCUCCAGAUGCACAGGCUCCAGAUGCGCAGGCUCAGUGGUUGUGGCUCACGGGUCCAGUUGCUCUGCGGCAUGUGGGAUCUUCCCAGACCAGGGCUCGAACCCAUGUCCCCUGCACUGGCAGGCAGAUUCUCAACCACUGCGCCACCAGGGAAGCCCCAAAUGGAUUGAUUUUUUUAAAAUUAUAUUUAUUUGGUUGUACUCAGUCUUAGUUGCGGCAGGAGGGCUCCUUACUUGUGGCCCAUGAGCUUCUUAGUUGUGGCAUGCGGGCUCCUUAGUUGUGGCAUGCAAACUCUUAGUUGUGGCGUGCAUGUGGUACCUAGUUCCCUGAACAGGGAUCAAACCCAGGCCCCCUGCAUUGGGAGCACGGAGUCUUAACCACUGUACCACCAGGGAAGUCCCGCAUGUAUUUUUAAUUUACAUAAAUGAUAUCAUGUUUUAAAUCUCAUUGUUUUUUCACUCAGCAUGAAUUUUUAAAGAUGAAAUUCAUAUAAUUUGUAAAUGAUCAGUUUGCUCUUUCCUUCCAAUCCUCGCAUGCAUUUAAUUCCUUCCCUCCUUCCUUCCUUUCUCCCUCCCUCCCUUCCUUCCUUUCCCCCUUUCUUUCCUUCUUUGUUUUUACAACACUGACUAGUACCUUCAGUACUAAGUUAAAGUGCAACAGUAAUAGUGGGCAUUCUUGCCUUGUUGCUGAUCUUAAGGGAAUAUAUAUCCACUAAAUAUCUGUUGUUGAUCUCUAGUAUGUCACCUUUACCAAAUUAAGGAAAUUUCCUUCUGUUCCCAGGGUUUUAUUUUUUAAUUAUAAAUAGCUGAAUUACUUAAAUUCUCUUUUCUGUAUCAACUAAGAUCAUCACAGAGGACUAAACCUUCACCCUUCAUAACAGGAAGCUAAUAGAUGUCUCAAACUGAUAAGCCAUGAAGAGCAGGAGGGCAUAUUAUUUCCAAUUACGAUGACAAAUACUAGAAUAGUUCAAAGAAGUGAAAGUCUUUCAUUCUGGGAAGCUAGUUUGGAGCGUAGACUGGGGUUAGGCAGGGGAUUGCUCUUUUUGUCAUAUAACUUCCCCUUCUUUUUGAUUAACUAUAUGCAUGUAUUACUUUGAUUUUUUUAAAAAUAAAGCUUAAUUUAGAAAUAAAUCUUCAAGUCUCCCAACCCAUGUUUUUAAGUGAGAUAAAAUUCAUGCACCAUAUGAAUCCACUCAUUCAGUAUAUACCUAAGUGAUUUUUAGUAUAUUCACAAGGUUGUGCAAUCAUUACCACUAAUUCCAGAACAUUUACAUCAACCCCAAAAGAAACCCUGUACCUGUUAGUAGUCCUCUCCCAUCCCUCACCCCUUACCCCAUCCCCUAGCAACAACUAAUCUACUUUCUGUCUCUGUGAAUUUGCCUAUUCUGGACAUUUCCUGUAAGUGGAAUCAUACAAUACGUAGCCUUUAUGACUGGCUUCUCUCCUCUGCCAUAGUGUUUUCAAGGUUCAUCCAUGUUGUAGCAGUACCUCAUUCUAGUUUAUGGCUGAGUAAUGUUCCAUUGUAUGAAUAGACCACACUUUGUUUAUCCGUUCAUCAGUUGAUGGACAUUUGGGUUGUUUCUUCUUUUUGGCUAUUCGGAAUAAUGCUGCUAUGAGCAUUUGUGCAUAAAUUUUUGUGUGAAUAUGUUUUCAAUUCUCUUGAGUAUAUGUAUACCUAGGAGUGGAAUUGCUAGGUCAUAUGGUAACUCUCUAUGUAACUUUCUGUGGAACUGCCAAACAGUUUUCCAAAGUGUCUGCAUCCUUUUACUAAAGGUUCAGUCUUAAUGGUUCUUUAGAGUCGUCUUUGUGAUCUGACUCUUGCCUCCAUCUCCUGCCCUCUUUAUCACGCACCAACAAAUACCAUUUACAGCUUUCCCAUACACACCAUGCUGUUUCUCACCUCUGGACCUUUGUUUCUGUUUCAUCUGCCUGGAAAGCCUGCUAGCCUCCACUCUUUAAGAUAUCUCAGUAAUGGCCUCCUCCAGAAAGCCUUCCCUGCCCCCACUCCUGCUCCCCCAGGAUAAGCGUCCCUCCUCUCUGAACCUACACAGUAGGUAAUUAACAAACUUUAAAUGCCAUGAUAUAUUUUAUAAUUAUGUUUCUUUUUUUUUUUUUUUUUUUUUUGCGGUACGUGGGUCUCUCACUGUUGUGGCCUCCCCCGUUGCAGAGCACAGGCUCCGGACGCGCAGGCUCAGUGGCCAUGGCUCACAGGCCCAGCCGCUCCGCGGCAUGUGGGAUCUUCCCGGACCGGGGCACGAACCCGUGUCCCCUGCAUCGGCAGGCGGACUCUCAACCACUGCGCCACCAGGGAACCCCCUUUGCUAUUUUUUUAAUUGAAGUGUAGUUGAUUUACAAUGUUGUGUUGAUUUCGCUGUACAGCAAAGUGAUUCAGUUAUACACAUAUAUACAUCCUUUUUUUAUAUCCUUUUCCAUUGUGGUUUAUCCCAGGAGAUUGAAAAUAGUUCCCUGUGCUAUACAGUAGGACCUUGUUGUUUAUCCAUUCUAAAUGUAAUAGUUUGUACCUACUAACCCCAAACUCCCAGUCCAUCCCUCUCCCUCCCCCCUCCCCUUAUAAGUAUGCUUCUUUGUCUACCUCCUGCAUUAUGUGGAAUUCUUUAAAUGCAGGAGUUGUAUCUUUUUUUCUUUGUAUCCCUGGAACCUACUGGUGACCUUCAGUAAAUGGCUGUUGAAUGGAUUACUUCUACAGAUAUUUACCAAGGGCCUAUUAAGAGCCAGUACACAAAGAGACCAGAUAUUAGACUACUACAGUGAACAGACAUGUGCAAGACAGUUCCUGCCCUCAGUGGGAAUGAGGCCUAGUCCGUGGGGAAGGUGGACAAAGAGAUACAUAAAACCAAGCAAGAUCGAAAAGCAAAAAUAUGAGUUCAGAGGCUCAGACAUCUCAAGGUAAAUGGACCUUGGAAAGUAUUCCCUUGUCUUAUUCCACUUUUCCAAAGCCGUGGUAUUUGACCCCGAUUUAGAAUCCCUUAUGGAGCUUUUGAAAAGAUGAAUGCUUGGGACACCAGCUCAGGUUGAUUUCAUUGGUCUGGGUUCUAAUCUUUUUUUUCUCUCUCUUUUUUUUUUAUGUUAUGAAACCUGGAUUUGGGUCCACUUGCCCAAUACACAGCAAAGCCAAUCUGCUGACACCAGGUUGUGAAGGAAAGUAAAGCAUUUAUUGCAAGGCCAAGCAAGAAGGAUGGGUAGCUUAAGCUCAAAAGGCCAGAACUCCCUGAACUCCCCAAUGGCUUUUAGGGAAGGGUUUUUAAAGACGGUGUGAGGGAGUCACAGGGUGCAUGAUCAGCUCGUAUACUUCCUUCUGAUUGGUUGGUGGUGAGGUAACAGGGUGAUGUUUCAGGAAUCUCAAUCAUCAACUUCUGGUUCCAGCCAGUCUGGGGUCUAUGUGUCUGUGGUCAGCAUGUAGUUAACUUCUUACACCUGGUGGGGGUUUAGUAUCUGCAAAACAGCUCAAGGAUACGGCUCAGGAUAUUAUUUAUAACCCUCAGAGAGGAACUAAAGGUCCUUGAUCUUGUUUUAAGGCUAUUUAUUUUGUCUUGCUUGACUGUUUCCUUUUGUUUCUGCAUUUUCUCACUCCUCUGAUUAAAUUUGCUCUUUGGAACCUGGGGAAGGCCUAGGAGGCUAAAGAUGUUCUACAAACAAGAGGCAGGGGACACAAGUGGUGGUGGGGUGUCAGUCACCAGGAAGGCCCCACAGGGUCCCGCUGGGUUUCAAGCUCUGACAAGAAUUCUAACAUGUUGCCAGGAUUGAACAGCACUCGUCUGCAGGGGAAAAAAUAAAUUUAAGCUCUUCAUCCUG